UUGGGGAGGCCACGCGGGGCGGCGGGGGGCGCCGUGGUCUCCAGGGAGGGGGACCCGCCACCCCGCAGCCCCGGGCCUCCUUCCUGCGCCGAAACAAGCCGCCUUCCCGUCCACCAUGCCGUUGCAUCCGCCGCACAGCGGCCUACGGGGGCAGAAGGGACGGCCCCAUCUUCCGGAGGUGGAGACUGAGGCUUGGCGGCAUUCUGGGACUGAGAAGCGCAUGCACUGCCCCGCCCCAGCCUGGUGAUGAUGGGUUGUUGGAGAACCGCAUAUGGAGGUGUGUCCACUAAGGGCAGGGACCAGGCAGCCAGGGCAAGGUGCGCUUGUGGGAGGCUGUUCCUGAGGAAGUGACCUGCCCAAGGUCACAUUGCUCUUCAGUGAGCUGAUUGCCUAAAGGAUGGAUGGUGGCAUGGAGGUGGGAUUAGAACCUGGCUCUUAACUCUUCCCCAAACUGCCAAGUCUCAUCAUCCGACAUGUCACGUGAAGCCCUGGAGAACCUGGCCCUGCCAGUUGGCACUGAACUGCUGUGGCUCACAAGUACCACACCAGUUUUACUCUGUACCUUUGCUUAUGCUGUUCCUUCUGCCCAGAAUGCCUAUCCCUCCUUGGCCUAA